GCCUGGGUGGCUUAGUUGGUUAAGCAUCUGACUUUGGUUCAGCUCAUGAUCUCAUAGUUUGUGAGUUCAAGCCCCACGUCGGGCU
rnacentral:tRNA from 1 species